rnacentral:rRNA from 1 species
GUCGAGCGGAGAUAGUGGAGCUUGCUCCAUUAUCUUAGCGGCGGACGGGUGAGUAACACGUGGGCAACCUGCCCUGCAGAUCGGGAUAACUCCGGGAAACCGGUGCUAAUACCGAAUAGUUUGCGGCCUCUCAUGAGGCUGCACGGAAAGACGGUUUCGGCUGUCACUGCAGGAUGGGCCCGCGGCGCAUUAGCUAGUUGGUGAGGUAACGGCUCACCAAGGCCACGAUGCGUAGCCGACCUGAGAGGGUGAUCGGCCACACUGGGACUGAGACACGGCCCAGACUCCUACGGGAGGCAGCAGUAGGGAAUCUUCCGCAAUGGACGAAAGUCUGACGGAGCAACGCCGCGUGAGUGAAGAAGGUUUUCGGAUCGUAAAACUCUGUUGUGAGGGAAGAACAAGUACCAACUAACUACUGGUACCUUGACGGUACCUCACCAGAAAGCCACGGCUAACUACGUGCCAGCAGCCGCGGUAAUACGUAGGUGGCAAGCGUUGUCCGGAAUUAUUGGGCGUAAAGCGCGCGCAGGCGGUCCUUUAAGUCUGAUGUGAAAGCCCACGGCUCAACCGUGGAGGGUCAUUGGAAACUGGGGGACUUGAGUGCAGAAGAGGAAAGUGGAAUUCCACGUGUAGCGGUGAAAUGCGUAGAGAUGUGGAGGAACACCAGUGGCGAAGGCGACUUUCUGGUCUGUAACUGACGCUGAGGCGCGA